UACGGAGGGUGCAAGCGUUACUCGGAAUCACUGGGCGUAAAGGGUGCGUAGGCGGAAUAUCAAGUCAGCGGUAAAAAUUCGGGGCUCAACCCCGGCGAGCCGUUGAAACUGGCUGUCUUGAGAUGUCGAGAGGUAUGCGGAAUGCGCAGUGUAGCGGUGAAAUGCUUAGAUAUUGCGCAGAACUCCGAUUGCGAAGGCAGCAUACCGGCGGCGAUCUGACGCUGAGGCACGAAAGCGUGGGUAUCGAACAGG
rnacentral:rRNA from 1 species